rnacentral:rRNA from 1 species
UACGUAGGGAGCAAGCGUUGUCCGGAUUUACUGGGUGUAAAGGGUGCGUAGGCGGCUUUGCAAGUCAGAAGUGAAAUCCAUGGGCUUAACCCAUGAACCGCUUUUGAAACUGCAAGGCUUGAGUGAAGUAGAGGCAGGCGGAAUUCCCGGUGUAGCGGUGAAAUGCGUAGAGAUCGGGAGGAACACCAGUGGCGAAGGCGGCCUGCUGGGCUUUAACUGACGCUGAGGCACGAAAGCAUGGGUAGCAAACAGG